GAUGAACGCUGGCGGCGUGCCUAAUACAUGCAAGUCGAACGCGAGCAGCAAUGCUCGAGUGGCGAACGGGUGAGUAAUACAUAAGUAACCUGCCCUAGACAGGGGGAUAACUGCUGGAAACGGCAGCUAAGACCGCAUAGGUAUACAGAGCGCAUGCUCAGUAUAUUAAAGCGCCCAUCAAGGCGUGAACAUGGAUGGACCUGCGGCGCAUUAGCUAGUUGGUGAGGUAACGGCCCACCAAGGCGAUGAUGCGUAGCCGGCCUGAGAGGGUAAACGCCACAUUGGGACUGAGACACGGCCCAA
rnacentral:rRNA from 1 species